rnacentral:rRNA from 1 species
GACGAACGCUGGCGGCGUGCCUAAUACAUGCAAGUAGAACGCUGAAGCUUGGUGCUUGCACCGAGCGGAUGAGUUGCGAACGGGUGAGUAACGCGUAGGUAACCUGCCUGGUAGCGGGGGAUAACUAUUGGAAACGAUAGCUAAUACCGCAUAAGAGUAGAUGUUGCAUGACAUUUGCUUAAAAGGUGCAAUUGCAUCACUACCAGAUGGACCUGCGUUGUAUUAGCUAGUUGGUGAGGUAACGGCUCACCAAGGCAACGAUACAUAGCCGACCUGAGAGGGUGAUCGGCCACACUGGGACUGAGACACGGCCCAGACUCCUACGGGAGGCAGCAGUAGGGAAUCUUCGGCAAUGGACGGAAGUCUGACCGAGCAACGCCGCGUGAGUGAAGAAGGUUUUCGGAUCGUAAAGCUCUGUUGUAAGAGAAGAACGAGUGUGAGAGUGGAAAGUUCACACUGCGACGGUAUCUUACCAGAAAGGGACGGCUAACUACGUG